UCCAGAAGAGAUGUUCCAGCAACUGCUUCUCUGUUUUCUUCCUUAGGAGACCUGAGUGUAAGUCCCAUCUCUCAGGAGAUUUUCUACAGUAGGAACAGAGAUCCUCUUCUUCCCUCAUCUAAAAGGGAACUCUGAAUCACCUAUUAACAAAACUGUCAGCAGCCUUGGAGAAUUCCCUGCUGAUAAUCAAAUGUCAUCUGACUCCACCAGACUCAGAACCAGAGGCAGAUAGCAGGAGGAAAAGAAAAAUUAAAUCACCAUCAGCCAGUUCAGCCCUAUGGAUAUAGGUCUUUUUGCUAUAAACAAAGCUUAUUAACUGGACAU